GACAGAGGGUGCAAACGUUGCUCGGAAUUACUGGGCGUAAAGCGCGUGUAGGCGGAUCGGAAAGUCGGGCGUGAAAGCCCCAGGCUCAACCUGGGAACUGCACUCGAAACUCCCGGUCUUGAGUGGUGGAGAGGGAAGUGGAAUUCCUGGUGUAGAGGUGAAAUUCGUAGAUAUCAAGCAGAACACCUGCGGCGAAGGCGGCUUCCUGGACCGAUUACUGACGCUGAGGCGCGAAAGCUAGGGGAGCAAACGGG
rnacentral:rRNA from 1 species